rnacentral:rRNA from 1 species
CCUACGGGAGGCAGCAGUGAGGAAUAUUGGUCAAUGGGCGGACGCCUGACGCAGCAACGCCGCGUGAACGAGACGCCCUUCGGGGUGUAAAGUUCUGUCAGUGGGGACGAAAAAUGACGGUCCCCACAGAGGACGCACCGGCUAACUCCGUGCCCGCCGCCGCGGUAAUACGGGGCGUGCAAGCGUUGUCCGGAAUCAUUGGGCGUAAAGAGUUCGUAGGCGGAAUGUAAAGUCAGGUGUUAAAGCGCAGGCUCAACCUGUAUAUGGCACUUGAUACUUGCAAGCUGGAAUGCGGUAGAGGUAAAGGGAAUGCCUGGUGUAGCGGUGAAAUGCUUAGAUAUCAGGAGGAACAUCGGGGGCGUAAGCGCUUUACUGGGCCGUAAUUGACGCUGAGGAACGAAAGCCAGGGUAGCAAAUGGGAUUAGAUACCCCAGUAGUC